ACUUUAUAAAAGAGCUCCACCAGAACGUUUAAUUAUUUCGUAGUUGCAUAAAACUGAUAUCGAAGAAAAUGAACUGCAAACUUGUACUUUUCAUCUGUCUAGUUCUCUCUGCAGUGAAUCUAUCUGAAUGUGGCCGAAGACGAAGACGCUGGACUUUUGAUUGGGACCAGAAGCUAUCUGAUAACGAGAAGUCCCUUGAACAAGCUGAUGAUUUUUCCAACAAAGACGGAGCUGAGUUGUUGCAGCACUUGAACAUGCAGAACUAGAUUUCUACAGAAAUACAACACAGCAAAUUCUUGAAAGAAUAAAUUGCUGCGAAAAGGCAAAUGGCAUUGCCAGGAAAUAAAGUGCAAAAAAAUAAA